rnacentral:rRNA from 1 species
AGUAGCGGCGAGUGAAGCGGCAAAAGCUCAAAUUUGAAAUCUGGCUCUUUCAGAGUCCGAGUUGUAAUUUGAAGAAGGUAUCUUUGGGUCUGGCUCUUGUCUAUGUUUCUUGGAACAGAACGUCACAGAGGGUGAGAAUCCCGUGCGAUGAGAUGAUCCAGGCCUAUGUAAAGUUCCUUCGAAGAGUCGAGUUGUUUGGGAAUGCAGCUCUAAGUGGGUGGUAAAUUCCAUCUAAAGCUAAAUAUUGGCGAGAGACCGAUAGCGAACAAGUACAGUGAUGGAAAGAUGAAAAGAACUUUGAAAAGAGAGUGAAAAAGUACGUGAAAUUGUUGAAAGGGAAGGGCUUGAGAUCAGACUUGGUAUUUUGUAUGUUACUUCUUCGGGGGUGGCCUCUACAGUUUAUCGGGCCAGCAUCAGUUUGGGCGGUAGGAGAAUUGCGUUGGAAUGUGGCACGGCUUCGGUUGUGUGUUAUAGCCUUCGUCGAUACUGCCAGCCUAGACUGAGGACUGCGGUUUAUACCUAGGAUGUUGGCAUAAUGAUCUUAAGUCGCCCGUCUUGAAACACGGACCAAGGAGUCUAACGUCUAUGCGAGUGUUUGGGUGUAAAACCCGUACGCGUAAUGAAAGUGAACGUAGGUGGGGGCCCGUAUGGGUGCACCAUCGACCGAUCCUGAUGUCUUCGGAUGGAUUUGAGUAAGAGCAUAGCUGUUGGGACCCGAAAGAUGGUGAACUAUGCCUGAAUAGGGUGAAGCCAGAGGAAACUCUGGUGGAGGCUCGUAGCGGUUCUGACGUGCAAAUCGAUCGUCGAAUUUGGGUAUAGG